rnacentral:rRNA from 1 species
GACGAACGCUGGCGGCGUGCCUAAUACAUGCAAGUCGAACGAGAGCGACCGGUGCUUGCACUGGUCAAUCUAGUGGCGAACGGGUGAGUAACACGUGGGUAACCUGCCCAUCAGAGGGGGAUAACAUCCGGAAACGGAUGCUAAAACCGCAUAGGUCUUCGAACCGCAUGGUUUGAAGAGGAAAAGAGGCGCAAGCUUCUGCUGAUGGAUGGACCCGCGGUGCAUUAGCUAGUUGGUGAGGUAACGGCUCACCAAGGCCGUGAUGCAUAGCCGACCUGAGAGGGUGAUCGGCCACAUUGGGACUGAGACACGGCCCAACCUCCUACGGAGGCAGCAGUAGGGAAUCUUCCGCAAUGGACGCAAGUCUGACGGAGCAACGCCGCGUGAGUGAAGAAGGUUUUCGGAUCGUAAAACUCUGUUGUUAGAGAAGAACAAGUGCUAGAGUAACUGUUAGCGCCUUGACGGUAUCUAACCAGAAAGCCACGGCUAACUACGUG